rnacentral:rRNA from 1 species
GAUGAACGCUGGCGGCGUGCCUAAUACAUGCAAGUCGAGCGAAGCGGGGACGGGUGGGUAACACGUGGAUGAGAUUCUAUAAGACUGGGAGAAUAUCAGGAAAACAGGGCUAAACCGGAUCCUUAUAGAUGGAUCCGCGGUGCAUUAGCUAGUUGGUAAGGUAACGGCUUACCAAGGCAACGAUGCAUAGCCGACCUGAGAGGGUGAUCGGCCACACUGGAACUGAGACACGGUCCAGACUCCUACGGGAGGCAGCAGUAGGGAAUCUUCCGCAAUGGGCGAAAGCCUGACGGAGCAACGCCGCGUGAGUGAUGAAGGUCUUCGGGUCGUAAAGCUCUGUUAUUAGGGAAGCGGUACCUGCACAGAAAGCACCGGCUAACUACGUGCCAGCAGCCGCGGUAAUAC